rnacentral:rRNA from 1 species
GAUGAACGCUGGCGGCGUGCCUAAUACAUGCAAGUCGAGCGAACGGACGAGAAGCUUGCUUCUCUGAUGUUAGCGGCGGACGGGUGAGUAACACGUGGAUAACCUACCUAUAAGACUGGGAUAACUUCGGGAAACCGUAGCUAAUACCGGAUAAUAAUUUGAACCGCAUGGUUCAAAAGUGAAAGACGGUCUUGCUGUCACUUAUAGAUGGAUCCGCGCUGCAUUAGCUAGUUGGUAAGGUAACGGCUUACAAGGCAACGAUGCAUAGCCGACCUGAGAGGGUGAUCGGCCACACUGGAACUGAGACACGGUCCAGACUCCUACGGGAGGCAGCAGUAGGGAAUCUUCCGCAAUGGGCGAAAGCCUGACGGAGCAACGCCGCGUGAGUGAUGAAGGUCUUCGGAUCGUAAAACUCUGUUAUUAGGGAAGAACAUAUGUGUAAGUAACUGUGCACAUCUUGACGGUACCUAAUCAGAAAGCCACGGCUAACUACGUG